UACAGAGGUCCCAAGCGUUGUUCGGAUUCACUGGGCGUAAAGGGUGCGUAGGCGGUGAGGUAAGUCGGAUGUGAAAGCUCGGAGCUCAACUCCGAAAUGGCAUUGGAAACUACCUUGCUCGAGGGGUGGAGGGGGGACUGGAAUACUUGGUGUAGCAGUGAAAUGCGUAGAUAUCAAGUGGAACACCAGUGGCGAAGGCGAGUCCCUGGACAACUCCUGACACUGAGGCACGAAAGCUAGGGGAGCAAACAGG
rnacentral:rRNA from 1 species